CUUUCAGCAGAUGUAGGCACAUCUUGAAGCUGGUAAUCUUUUCAGAUGAUUUUUCUGUUUUAUGGCAGUUUCCAGGCAAGUGUGGUUUUUUGUGGCUACAUGGUUCAGUGGACAAUGCUGGUGGGAAGUUGGACUAGAUGGUCUUAGAGGUCUUUUCCAGUGUUAAAGAUUCUAUGAUUCUAUGUGUUAGGCAAAAAAUAACAGUUUCAAUUAUGCCAUUUUCACUGAAUCACUUAUCUUGAAUCUUUAUUUAAACAACAAACACAGCCUUCUCUAUCUCGAGUUGAAAUGAAUUAUUUCAUUUGGGUUUGCGUAAAGUUUUCCAUUGGGCUGCAAAUGAUGAUCCUUGGUGGCAAAGAAAAGAAAAUUCCUCUCCUAUCCACACUUUUUGAUACCUUUGGAACACAAUUCCUCAUGGACUGGCACUGUGUGCAGACAUAAUGGUUACCCACUCAUACCUGCAAAUCUUUUUUAUGAUCACCCAUGGCUGCCGUUGAUGUAGUGUGAUGGUAAAACACCACUGUAGUUUGGAAUAUUAUUGUAGCAGAGGACUCCUAACCCAUUUUCUCAUGGUAACUGUAGUGUGUGUGUGUGUGUGUGUUGGGCCACUUUAAUGUCAUAUAGUGUGAAGAGAAGCAAAUACAGUGGAUUGGAAUCUCUGCCCUAUAAUUGCGUACACCACGGCUCUGUGGUAGGAAAUAAAUGCAGUUUUGACUAACAUGAGUGUUUCAGCUGAGAGUAACUGUACUACUUAGGCUUAUAAUUUCCCCCUUGAGCAGAAUCUUUUGAAAUGCUUAAGCAGUGUUUAGGUUUUAUUUGUCCUUCGUUUGCUUAUGUUCUCCAAACUAUUCAGUGUCGCCUGCUCAAUGCAUGUAAUUUGGAUGAAAUUCAGUGGGAUAUUCUUGAUUUCUCUAUUAAUAGAUGUGUAUUGGCUCUUAUAAAAUUGUCCAAAAUACUGCAAUUUUUUUUUGGUAAUUCAUCUUUUUUUUUUUUCUUUCAUAAAGUAUCCAGGUAUCAGAGCAGCAUGUUGAUGAAUGAGGCUUACUGCUCAGCUCUGCCUUUCUCAGUGAAGCUUACUUUCUGAAGACGCUGCUGGGCUUUCCAAAUUGCAGUCCUUCAGCAACAACAACCAGUUUUCUUCCUUUCCUCUGGAUGGAGAUGCACUGCAGUGCUCACUGUGGUGUCACGCAAAUGGCCAGCCACCAAUGUGAGGCAGAAAGGUAAAUGCAUGUCCUGCAGCUCCCUGUGGCUGCCAACAGAAAUUGUGUGUUUGCAUGAUUACGGCACAAAAGGAUAAUCACACAUUUUCAGUUUGCUGUGAUGGGAAAGCAAUCUCUGCUCUGCUAUUCACCCACUGUGUUGGGAAGCUGGCUGUAACGAGACGUGCAGAAAUAAACUCUUCAUUUCUUAAAAUUUUGCCACUUUAUUCUGUUAGAAUCCCAAAGCCUUUCCCUUUUGGCCUGGUUGAGUGCGCAGUCAUGAUUUUUUUUGCUUCAGUUUAUUAUCUGAAUAAAUAGUUGACAUCAC
rnacentral:lncRNA from 1 species